CUGAGCAAAGCCUGAGCAUCUGUACAUUUUGUCAAGAUGUCAUCUCUUUUUCCUGUACCGGCUGUACGUUUUGUAAGAAACACUUAAGAACAAAUCAGUUUGGUAAAGUCUAAGCUUCUUUGUUGCUACCCAAUGUACACAUGGAUUUGAUGCAGCCAACUGGUAAAGGGUGUUCCUACUGCUGUGUUUUCGUCAAAUGAAGAAACACAAACAACUGAAGUUUAUCGUGUAUGUUCGCGUAGUUGCUGUCCGAUGUGGCACGUUGUUGCAGCCUAUGCUGGUGAAAGAUCUUUCUACAUAAAGUUCAAUUGGCCGUUGCUUGGUGCUGAUGUCGUGUUACCGAAGUUGCAUCAUAUUUUGUUAAAUUGUCAUCGUGACUAUUGCAGUUUACCGUUUAUAAGUUCAGAAGCAACAAAAA